CGAGAAAUUGACUUACUUUGGUGUAGAAGGAUAUAAAAAGUUAGUCUUUAGUUAAGUGUCAACAGAAAGAAACGAUAGGCAAGGAAGGAUUUUCUUCGUUUCUAUAAUUCUAUUUUAACGAGCAAGCGCACUUCAGGUUAUUAAUCAUCAAGUUCUUAGCUUCAAUAGAGCCCAGCAACCCCAAGUAAUAAAUCUUCACAAUGAGUAAUUUAUCCAAUUGAAAAUCACUGAAGAAUUUUAACAAGAAACACUCACACGCACAGAGACACUUUUUUAUAUAAAGAGUAAAAUUUGAUACCUGGAAGGAAGGGGGUGGAAGUUCUGUUCAGAUAUGGAACUAGGGCUUUUUGUAGAAGAGAAUGCGAGAGAGUUAAAUCUGAGAGAGGGGAUGCAGGAUUGUGCCAUUUUUGUUUAUCGAUAUGAGAGGUCGCUGUGUUUUUGUGGAGGAAGAGAUGGUUGCUUAUCCGUUAAACGACGACGACGAUGCGACGGAGUGAGGCAGGCAAUUAGCUAUUAUUACUAAAGAAACAAGAGCUUAAUUAUCCGUUGUGGUGGAGCUAUUAUUUCUUGUUUCUUCAACCNUUGUAGAAGAGAAUGCGAGAGAGUUAAAUCUGAGAGAGGGGAUGCAGGAUUGUGCCAUUUUUGUUUAUCGAUAUGAGAGGUCGCUGUGUUUUUGUGGAGGAAGAGAUGGUUGCUUAUCCGUUAAACGACGACGACGAUGCGACGGAGUGAGGCAGGCAGUUGGUGAGGUGAGGGGAUGAGCCAACGAAGGAAGAAGAUAAACAAGAUUUUUAUUUGGGUUACGUUGUUGCGUGUGGGAAUGUAAAACCCAAAAUUGAAACAAAUCUCAUGGCGCUCGGGUUGGGCCUGGGUUUGCUGUAUCAUUUCCUACCAAUCGAUUAGGAUUUAAGAAGGCCAAAACUAG
rnacentral:lncRNA from 1 species